CAGCUUGUUGNNNGGGUAAUGGCCUACCAAGGCGACGACGGGUAGCCGGCCUGAGAGGGUGACCGGCCACACUGGGACUGAGACACGGCCCAGACUCCUACGGGAGGCAGCAGUGGGGAAUAUUGCACAAUGGGCGCAAGCCUGAUGCAGCGACGCCGCGUGAGGGAUGACGGCCUUCGGGUUGUAAACCUCUUUCAGUAGGGAAGAAGCGAAAGUGACGGUACCUGCAGAAGAAGCGCCGGCUAACUACGUGCCAGCAGCCGCGGUAAUACGUAGGGCGCAAGCGUUAUCCGGAAUUAUUGGGCGUAAAGAGCUCGUAGGCGGUUUGUCGCGUCUGCUGUGAAAGACCGGGGCUCAACUCCGGUUCUGCAGUGGGUACGGGCAGACUAGAGUGAUGUAGGGGAGACUGGAAUUCCUGGUGUAGCGGUGAAAUGCGCAGAUAUCAGGAGGAACACCGAUGGCGAAGGCAGGUCUCUGGGCAUUAACUGACGCUGAGGAGCGAAAGCAUGGGGAGCGAACAGGAUUAGAUACCCUGGUAGUCCAUGCCGUAAACGUUGGGCACUAGGUGUGGGGGACAUUCCACGUUUUCCGCGCCGUAGCUAACGCAUUAAGUGCCCCGCCUGGGGAGUACGGCCGCAAGGCUAAAACUCAAAGGAAUUGACGGGGGCCCGCACAAGCGGCGGAGCAUGCGGAUUAAUUCGAUGCAACGCGAAGAACCUUACCAAGGCUUGACAUGAACCGGUAAUACCUGGAAACAGGUGCCCCGCUUGCGGUCGGUUUACAGGUGGUGCAUGGUUGUCGUCAGCUCGUGUCGUGAGAUGUUGGGUUAAGUCCCGCAACGAGCGCAACCCUCGUUCUAUGUUGCCAGCGCGUUAUGGCGGGGACUCAUAGGAGACUGCCGGGGUCAACUCGGAGGAAGGUGGGGACGACGUCAAAUCAUCAUGCCCCUUAUGUCUUGGGCUUCACGCAUGCUACAAUGGCCGGUACAAAGGGUUGCGAUACUGUGAGGUGGAGCUAAUCCCAAAAAGCCGGUCUCAGUUCGGAUUGGGGUCUGCAACUCGACCCCAUGAAGUCGGAGUCGCUAGUAAUCGC
rnacentral:rRNA from 1 species